GAUGAACGCUGACGGCGUGCCUAAUACAUGCAAGUCGAGCGAACAGACGAGGAGCUUGCUCCUCUGACGUUAGCGGCGGACGGGUGAGUAACACGUGGAUAACCUACCUAUAAGACUGGGAUAACUUCGGGAAACCGGAGCUAAUACCGGAUAAUAUAUUGAACCGCAUGGUUCAAUAGUGAAAGACGGUUUUGCUGUCACUUAUAGAUGGAUCCGCGCCGCAUUAGCUAGUUGGUAAGGUAACGGCUUACCAAGGCAACGAUGCGUAGCCGACCUGAGAGGGGGGCCGGCCACACGGGAACGUGAGCCGGCACAAUACUCCGGGGGGAGGAGGAAGAAGGAAACUGUCGGAAAUGGGGGAAAGCCGGAGGGAGCAGCGCGGGGGGAGGGAUGAAGGUUUGAGGAUCGAAAAACUUUUUUAUAGGGGAAAAAAAAAUGUAAAAGUAAAAAGGCCCUUCUUAACAGUCCCUAAUCAAAAGCCCCCGGCUAACUACGGG
rnacentral:rRNA from 1 species